UACAGAGGUCUCAAGCGUUGUUCGGAUUCAUUGGGCGUAAAGGGUGCGUAGGCGGCGCGGUAAGUCGGGUGUGAAAUCUCGGAGCUUAACUCCGAAACUGCAUUCGAUACUGCCGUGCUUGAGGACUGGAGAGGAGACUGGAAUUUACGGUGUAGCAGUGAAAUGCGUAGAUAUCGUAAGGAAGACCAGUGGCGAAGGCGGGUCUCUGGACAGUUCCUGACACUGAGACACGAAGGCCAGGGGGAGCAAACGGGG
rnacentral:rRNA from 1 species